rnacentral:rRNA from 1 species
CCUACGGGUGGCAGCAGUGGGGAAUAUUGGACAAUGGGGGAAACCCUGAUCCAGCGACGCCGCGUGAGGGAAGAAGGAUUUCGGGAUGUAAACCUCUAUCAGUAGGGGAGAAAAUGACGGUACCUGAGUAUGAAGCCACGGCUAACUACGUGCCAGCAGCCGCGGUACUACGGAGGCGGCAAGCGUUAUCCGGAUUUACUGGGUGUAAAGGGAGCGUAGGCGGUUUAUCAAGUCAGAAGUGAAAGUUAGGGGCUCAACUCAUAAACUGCGUUUGAAACUGAUAAACUUGAGUGAAGUAGAGGUAAGCGGAAUUCGUAGUGUAGCGGUGAAAUGCGUAGAUAUUAGGAGGAACACCAGUGGCGAAGGCGGCUUACUGAACUGUCACUGACGCUGAGGCUCGAAAGUGUGGGUAUCAAACAGGAUUAGAUACCCGUGUAGUC